rnacentral:rRNA from 1 species
UAACGGUCAUAAGCAUGCAAGUCGAGCGCCCCGCAAGGGGAGCGGCGGACGGGUGAGUAACGCGUGGGAACGUACCCUUUUCUGCGGAAUAGCCCAGGGAAACUUGGAUUAAUACCGCAUACGCCCUUCGGGGGAAAGAUUUAUCGGAGAAGGAUCGGCCCGCGUUGGAUUAGGUAGUUGGUGGGGUAAUGGCCUACCAAGCCGACGAUCCAUAGCUGGUUUGAGAGGAUGAUCAGCCACACUGGGACUGAGACACGGCCCAGACUCCUACGGGAGGCAGCAGUGGGGAAUCUUCGGCAAUGGGCGCAAGCCUGACCGAGCCAUGCCGCGUGAGCGAUGAAGGCCUUAGGGUUGUAAAGCUCUUUCGCCAGGGAUGAUAAUGACAGUACCUGGUAAAGAAACCCCGGCUAACUCCGUGCCAGCAGCCGCGGUAAUACGGAGGGGGUUAGCGUUGUUCGGAAUUACUGGGCGUAAAGCGCGCGUAGGCGGAUUGGAAAGUUGGGGGUGAAAUCCCGGGGCUCAACCUCGGAACUGCCUCCAAAACUCCCAGUCUUGAGUUCGAGAGAGGUGAGUGGAACUCCGAGUGUAGAGGUGAAAUUCGUAGAUAUUCGGAAGAACACCAGUGGCGAAGGCGGCUCACUGGCUCGAUACUGACGCUGAGGUGCGAAAGUGUGGGGAGCAAACAGGAUUAGAUACCCUGGUAGUCCACACCGUAAGACGAUGAAUGCCAGACGUCGGCAGGCAUGCCUGUCGGUGUCACACCUAACGGAUUAAGCAUUCCGCCUGGGGGAGUACGGCCGCAAGGUUAAAAACUCAAAGGGAAUUGACGGGGGGCCCCGCACAAGCGGUGGAGCAUGUGGGUUUAAUUUCGAAGGCAACGCGGCAGAAACCCUUUACCCAA